UCUAAGCAUAUAUGUGCCUCUUCAACAGACUAACGAGAUUAGGCAAAAUUCCAGCAUCAAAAAUCAAUUGUUCGUGCUCUGCUAGAUCAAGCUUGAGAUUAAGACACUGUAGAAUCAUUGUGGUGAACCUAAUAUUGUGAAGUUACUCGAUAUUGUCAGAGAUCAGCUGUCAAAGACCCCAAGUCUUAUAUUUGAAUAGGUGAAUAACACAUAUUUUGAAGUGCUUUAUCCAACUCUUUCUGACUUUGACGUUAGAUAUUACAUCCAUGAGAUAUUACAAUUGUUGCAGCCGGGGCGAAAGAAGUAGCAGUCCUUGCAUCAGCUUCAGAAUCUUUCUCAAAGUCAAACAUUAAUUGCAGCAUUGAGGAGAGCCUUGUUCGAUAUCAAGUUGUUACAUCUGCUUCUGAAAAGAUGGCAAUACCAAUUCACGGGUAAUGAAAGAUCUUAUACUUGAGCACAAGGUUGAGUUAGUUCCAUUUUUCCUUCAGUACUGAAGUAGGUUUUGCCAAAAGAUCAUAUAUUGGAUCUUCUUCAUUUAUCAGAUACUGAUUCCUAUUCAGUCAUGCAAAGUACAAGUUACAGCUCCUGAAAUUUUGAUAUUUAUGCUAAAGUUAGACAAUGCACUAGAAAGGCAGAUAUUCAGAAGAAUUUAUGAAGUUCUUAACAAUCUGCAAGGAAUGAACUUAAUAGUCUCUUCAUUUCCUAAAACCGAAUAAGGGAAAUUCUUUCUGUGGGUUAUCAUUUUCCUCUAACCGGCAAUGUUGCAGCUUAUAUAAAUACUUCAUCUUCUCGUCCAAGAUGUCUCAAGAGAAAAGGCUGAACUUGCCACACAUUCAAAGCAAAAGAAAAAACGUCCAUGUUUAUUAAGUACAAACACUUAAAUGAAAUUCAAUUUACGCAAAAAAAUAAAGAAAUGUUGCCAGCUGAAAAAGAGGCAUUACUAUUACAAAUGCGCACAAGAGAUCUCGACUCAAGAAGAUGUCUUCUACAAGUUUGUGCCUUCAAUAACUCUGUCAACUCAAUAUCUUCCACAUCUAAUUCGUCGUUUCUUCGGAACAGUCCUCUUAGAAUAAGCUUUAUGUUACGUCAACAGAAGGAAAAUGAAGGUGUUCAAAUUUGAAGGGUCGCCACAAGUCAAUUUGAUCUCAUUGAAAUGGAUGAUGAAGAGUUUUUGAACUAUUGUAAAAGUUUGAAUACAUUAUAUUAAUUUUGUGAAAUAUAUUCAUUGCUAGAAAAUAUUAAACUAUUGUAA